UAGGGAGACCAUCUGAGACUACCGAAGCUCAAGAAGAGGUAGUUGCUCAGUAUCCCUGGUCGUUCGAGAAAUAGAUGUCAAAGCUUUCAAACUAUUAACUGGUUCGGUAGAUGGGCUAUUAGCUCAGUUGGUUAGAGCGCACCCCUGAUAAGGGUGAGGUCCCUGGUUCAAAUCCAGGAUGGCCCACCUGGAAAAAAGUGAUGAAAUUAAAGUAAUGAGUCAGGAAUGAAUAAAAGUUCAGGACUCAGGGCUCAAAAAAUCAGAACUUGCUUAGUGGGGGUAUAGCUCAGUUGGUAGAGCGCCUGCCUUGCACGCAGGAAGUCAGCGGUUCGAGUCCGCUUACCUCCACUCUCACUAGCUAGCGAUAGCGAACUAACGAGAGUUGACAACCAUCAAAAAAGCAGCAGAGAAAAGAAAUCAGCACCCAGACUAUUGAAAGAGAGUCGGAAUGCUGGAGUCUAGAACUCUAGUCAGAACCUUGAAAACUGCAUAGAAAUUAAGUCAUCAAAAACAGCAGGUAAGUCAUCCGAGCCAUCGGAAAAUCUUACAAGCAGACGACCAGGGCUAACG
rnacentral:tRNA from 1 species